AGCACUUAAUGUUUUAUCAAAAGUCACAAAUUUAGAGUUUAGAGUUAAAGGGUGGGGUUUAGGAUUUAGGGUUUAGGGUUUAGGGUUUAGGGUUUAGAGUUUGGGGUUUAGGGUUUAGAGUUGAGAAAUGAGGUUUUGGGAUAAGAUUUUAAAUUUUGAAAAAUAAAAAAAUUAAAAUUUUCAAAAAAUAAAAUGCUAUUUUGGUCAUUUUAGUUUUUGAGUGUUAUUUUUGUGAUAU
rnacentral:lncRNA from 1 species